rnacentral:rRNA from 1 species
AAGUCGAACGAAGCUGCUUAACUGAUCUUCUUCGGAAUUGACGUUUUGUAGACUGAGUGGCGGACGGGUGAGUAACGCGUGGGUAACCUGCCCUGUACAGGGGGAUAACAGUCAGAAAUGACUGCUAAUACCGCAUAAGACCACAGCACCGCAUGGUGCAGGGGUAAAAACUCCGGUGGUACAGGAUGGACCCGCGUCUGAUUAGCUGGUUGGUGAGGUAACGGCUCACCAAGGCGACGAUCAGUAGCCGGCUUGAGAGAGUGAACGGCCACAUUGGGACUGAGACACGGCCCAAACUCCUACGGGAGGCAGCAGUGGGGAAUAUUGCACAAUGGGGGGAACCCUGAUGCAGCGACGCCGCGUGAGUGAAGAAGUAUCUCGGUAUGUAAAGCUCUAUCAGCAGGGAAGAAAAUGACGGUACCUGACUAAGAAGCCCCGGCUAACUACGUGCCAGCAGCCGCGGUAAUACGUAGGGGGCAAGCGUUAUCCGGAAUUACUGGGUGUAAAGGGUGCGUAGGUGGUAUGGCAAGUCAGAAGUGAAAACCCAGGGCUUAACUCUGGGACUGCUUUUGAAACUGUCAGACUGGAGUGCAGGAGAGGUAAGCGGAGUUCCUAGUGUAGCGGUGAAAUGCGUAGAUAUUAGGAGGAACAUCAGUGGCGAAGGCGG